rnacentral:misc_RNA from 1 species
UGGUUCUGGCAUCGAUGAAGAACGCAGCGAAAUGCGAUACGUAGUGUGAAUUGCAGAAUUCAGUGAAUCAUCGAAUCUUUGAACGCACAUUGCGCCCUUUGGUAUUCCAAAGGGCAUGCCUGUUCGAGCGUCAUUUGUACCCUCAAGCUUUGCUUGGUGUUGGGCGUUUUUUGUCUUUGGUCGCCAAAGACUCGCCUUAAAACGAUUGGCAGCCGGCCUACUGGUUCCGCAGCGCAGCACAUUUUUGCGCUUGCAAUCAGCCGAGGACGGCACUCCAUCAAGACUCCUUCUCACGUUUGACCUCGGAUCAGGUAGGGAUACCCGCUGA